CCUUAACCUGGCCUUGACAUACUAAGAACUUUCCAGAGAUGGAUUGGUGCCUUCGGGAACUUAGAUACAGGUGCUGCAUGGCUGUCGUCAGCUCGUGUCGUGAGAUGUUGGGUUAAGUCCCGCAACGAGCGCAACCCUUUUCCUUAUUUGCCAGCGGGUAAUGCCGGGAACUUUAAGGAUACUGCCAGUGACAAACUGGAGGAAGGCGGGGACGACGUCAAGUCAUCAUGGCCCUUACGGCCAGGGCUACACACGUGCUACAAUGGUCGGUACAAAGGGUUGCUACCUCGCGAGAGGAUGCUAAUCUCAAAAAGCCGAUCGUAGUCCGGAUCGCAGUCUGCAACCCGACUGCGUGAAGUCGGAAUCGCUAGUAAUCGCGGAUCAGAAUGCCGCGGUGAAUACGUUCCCGGGCCUUGUACACACCGCCCGUCACACCAUGGGAGUUUGUUGCACCAGAAGUAGGUAGUCUAACCGCAAGGAGGACGCUUACCACGGUGUGGCCGAUGACUGGGGUGAAGUCGUAACAAGGUAAGCGUAGAUGA
rnacentral:rRNA from 1 species